rnacentral:lncRNA from 1 species
UCUCCUUUGAUCUUGGUUAAUAUAUACCAAGGAUUUGACAAACAUAAUCUUAUAAAAUAUUUCAUAUUUCUUAAUUUCAUCUAUAAGAUCUUGGUGCAUAUCUUUAUCCUUAGAAAAGACCAAGGCUGCUACAUUUGCAUGCUGGGAGAUAGUAGAGUCAUCAAAAGGGUUAGCGAUAGAGGGAGGAUAGUUCACCUUGAAACUUGUACUCAUCUAGCCA